CAAUGCCUGCAGGGGUUCCUGAGAGCUGCUCUGCUCCUGGAGCGGGCUGGGUUUGUGUCCCCAGCACGGCUCCAGGGGUUCCUGAGAGCUGCUGUGCUCCACAGGAGCUGCCCCGACACCCCAAGGGGGCCCCAGAGCCGCGAGGGCUCAGCCCCUGCUGCCUUUCCUCAGGUUCUGUCCAGCCCUGGAGCUCUGCAGACCCUCCCAGUGCAGGACACCCCGCUCAGAGGGACCCAGCCCUGCCCCAGAAUCCCAGUUCCACCCACAGUCCCACGGGGGUCGUGUCCUGAAAGGGAAUAAACGUCCAAACUGGACAAUUCCAGAGGGAAGUUGUUCCCCCAUGCCCCGGGGCAGGGCUCAGCUGGACGCUGCCCUUUAGGUUUUUGUCCCUGGUAUUUCUUCCCUUUGUUGCUGAUUUCACUCUUUGAGAACCCUGAAUCAACAACUCUCGAGCUUUCCUUCCAAUUCCUGACUGCUUUGAUGCUCUUGUGUUCUUCAAAUGAACCAGAAAUGCCCCAAAUAUUUAUUUCCUUUCUCCCUUUCUCUUAAAAAGACCUUUUGGAAAUCUGUGCACGUAUUCAUCUGAUUUGACCCAAAACACAGAUGUGGAGGAGCACCUGGAAAAGGAUUAGAGGCCAGAAAUUAAAAAUUCAUUCCUUUCUUCUGUUGUAUAAAUUAUGAUAAUUGAAAAACAAUUUGCCCGAACUAGAAAGUAAAAGAAGGAGAAAUGUGAAUUUCCCCCCUGUAGAUUCCACGUGGCUGCCCUGGCUCCAUGCAGGGGAAAGAGCCAUUCUGAUUUUACAUCACCAAAGAAUCUGCUUUAAUAGAUUUUCAUCUUCCUGAGCACUUUGCCCAGGUAUUUCUGUGCCAUGACUCAUUGCAGACUAAUGGCUGCAUUUUAAAAAUGACUCCCAGCUCCGCCAGCACCAUAAAGCUCAUUUCCAUUUCGUACCGCCCUGCACUCCCACAGAAAUUUUAUUGGGAUUUUUGUAAUAGAUGAAGAGAUAUCAACACAAUUCUCUUAGAAUCCAGUGAACUGCUUUUGUCAUUGGUUUUAUCUCUGGCCACAGCUGCUCUCCCCCUCUCUGGCCUGGGCACCGCUGCCUUCCAGAGAAUCUUAUUCAGCAUAAAUCACCAAAAAGGGAUCUUGCAGGGUCCAGGAUAUUCACAUCACACUGCAAGUCCAUUCUUCUUUUCCACCUGCAAGGCAGCGCUGUGAGAGUUUUAAAGCAUUCAAUAACUGAUCAAUUGCAAUUUUCCACAAAAGGAAGGCACAGCUCAGGUCCACGGGGAGUUAAACAAGGGAGGAACCGGGCUGGGCUUCUGGUCACCACCUGAAUCCUCAUUUUCCAGGCUGUUUCUGCCUGUAAAACACAGAUUGCAGCAAAGAGCUGCGUUAGUUCUUGGCCGGUAAUUAACUGAGUGGAAAACAGGAAAUGAGAUUUAAGUCCUUGACAACCAGGGAUGAUCUCCAGGGCUGCCUCUCUGGCCUUUCCUCGGCUGAUUCCCCCAGGGAGUUCUCUCUCACCUUGGCACAGCAGGAGAGGGUGAACACCCCUCACCCAGAGCCUGCCCAUGGUGUCCCAGGGGCUGUUCAUUCCUGGGAUGAGCUCUGGUGAAAUUCCUCCCUGGACGCUGCUCCUGAUCCAGCAGGGGCUGGGGUGUGCACAGCCCUCCCUGCCCAGCCCGAGGAUUUGGGUGGAAUUGGUGAAGUUUGGGGUGCCCUGCACCCAGCCUGGCACAGCAGGAGGGGAAGGUUUGGGGUUUCCUCCCAAACCCUCCCAGCUCUGGCAGAAUGGAACAUCCAGCCCCUGUCAUCCCCAUGCUGGAAUUGGGAAUAUUGACUCAUGGUUGGGAUAUCUCCUCAAGGAAUCCCUGCAAGUGUCCCUGGCUGGGAUAUGUCCUCAAGGAAUCCCUUUAGCUGUCUCUGGUUGGGAUAUCUCCUCAAGGAAUCGCUCCAGGUGUCCCUGUUGGAGAUAUCUCCUCAAGGAAUCCCUCUGGGUGUCCCUGUUGGAGAUAUCUCCUCAAGGAAUCCCUCUGGGUGUCCCUGGCUGGGAUAUCUCCUCAAGGAAUCCCUCCAGGUGUCCCUGGUCAGGAUAUCUCCUCAAGGAAUCCCUCCAGGUGUCCCUGUUGGAGAUAUCUCCUCAAGGAAUCCCUCUGGGUGUCCCUGGCUGGGAUAUCUCCUCAAGGAAUCCCUCCAGGUAUCCCUGGCUGGGAUACCUCCUCAAGGAAUCCCUGCAAGUGUCCCUGGUCAGGAUAUCUCCUCAAGGAAUCCCUCCAGGUGUCCCUGUCGGGGAUAUCCUCUCAAGGAAUCCCUUCAUGUGUCCCUUGUUCAGGCAUUGGAGGGGGAGGGAGGAAACCCUAAAGCCCAGCCCCAAAUUUUUAGGUGAAGCUGUGGAUUUUUCCAUCUUUUCCCCCUCAGCCUCCAGCCCAGCUCCCCCUGCUGAGCCCCAGGGCUCCUGAGUGCCUCUCCCAGCUGGGCAGGGCUCACACAAACCCUGGGCUCACAAUCAGCUUUGGGAACACCAACUCCAUCCCCUCACCAGGCGCUCCUCCAGCUCCCCACCCCGCUGUGACUCCGAUAUCCCAGCUGAUAAACGGCUACAAAAACGUGAAAUGUGUGAAGUGUGCUCCUUCUGCUGAUUUGGAGAAGAUAAAACGUGGUGCUGGUCAGUCUGGUGAGACUCUGGGCAGUGUCAGACAAGAAAUAACAAAAUUCCCAUUGCAUUUUCAACUUGCAGAACCUCGGACCAGCUCUUGGGUGAAAACGGGAGGAGGAACUUUGACCCAGCCCAACACGAAAUAUAAAUAAUUCCUGAAAAGAGAAAAAAAACCCAAACCCACAAGUAUUCCUCUAGAGAGACCUGUUUUCUCUUCUGCUCCUUUAUAUUUUUGCAGUGAAAAGGUUGUGAAAAGGUCGUUCCUUGGCUGCUCUGCCUGAGCAUCCCUCCCUGCCCCGGGCUCGGCGUGUUUGGGGUGAAGGAGGGCAGAGCUCUGGACCCUUCUUGGGGUGAAGCUGAAGGAGUGGGGAAGGGAGACACAACACGGGAUCAAAAGCAUGGCCUUGGCUUCAUACCACACUUUCUGUGCCUUGUUCUAUCAAUGUAAAUUCUGAAUGUUGUACAGUGAAAAUACUUGGGAGAGACUCCUUGGAAAAGGCUGCACUGGCUUCUUUUUUCAGCACAUGUACAUAUAUAAAUAUAUAUACAUAUAUAUAUAUAUAUAUUUGGUAAUGCCAACCAGCUGUGUUCUAUUGUCCUGGAGAAGUCAAAGUGGACACUUUGGGUGUUUUCUGUAGAGUUUCAGAGCUGUGUGGCCCCGGCCUUUGGGGAGAGGUGUACAGAUUGGAAUUCUGGAUAUCAGCUAUUUAUGAAUAAAGAGUCUUUUACUGACACCUGA